rnacentral:rRNA from 1 species
AUUGAACGCUGGCGGCAGGCCUAACACAUGCAAGUCGAACGGUAACAGGAAGAAGCUUGCUUCUUUGCUGACGAGUGGCGGACGGGUGAGUAAUGUCUGGGAAACUGCCUGAUGGAGGGGGAUAACUACUGGAAACGGUAGCUAAUACUGCAUAACGUCGCAAGACCAAAGAGGGGGACCUUCGGGCCUCUUGCCAUCGGAUGUGCCCAGAUGGGAUUAGCUAGUAGGUGGGGUAACGGCUCACCUAGGCGACGAUCCCUAGCUGGUCUGAGAGGAUGACCAGCCACACUGGAACUGAGACACGGUCCAGACUCCUACGGGAGGCAGCAGUGGGGAAUAUUGCACAAUGGGCGCAAGCCUGAUGCAGCCAUGCCGCGUGUAUGAAGAAGGCCUUCGGGUUGUAAAGUACUUUCAGCGGGGAGGAAGGGAGUAAAGUUAAUACCUUUGCUCAUUGACGUUACCCGCAGAAGAAGCACCGGCUAACUCCGUG